GGAAUCUUAGACAAUGGGCGCAAGCCUGAUCUAGCCAUGCCGCGUGAGCGAUGAAGGCCUUAGGGUUGUAAAGCUCUUUCACCGGGGAAGAUAAUGACGGUACCCGGAGAAGAAGCCCCGGCUAACUCCGUGCCAGCAGCCGCGGUAAUACGGAGGGGGCUAGCGUUGCUCGGAAUCACUGGGCGUAAAGCGCACGUAGGUGGGUCGCUGAGUCGGGGGUGAAAUCCUGGAGCUCAACUCCAGAACUGCCUUCGAUACUGGCGAUCUUCGAGUCCGGGAGAGGUGGGUGGAACUGCGAGUGUAGAGGUGAAAUUCGUAGAUAUUCGCAAGAACACCAGUGGCGAAGGCGGCUCACUGGCCCGGUACUGACACUGAGGUGCGAAAGCGUGGGGAGCAAA
rnacentral:rRNA from 1 species